AACAUUUGUACCAGGUACAUUGUACACAAACAAAGUUGUAAUGUAUAUGAUAGAGGUGGAGUGAUGUAUUGGAUGUUAAGAGAGAGAGAUGGAAAAAGGAAAUUUUUGUAAUUUAUUCAAAUGGUAGGAUUUUUAGAGAAUAUGUUUUCUUAAGUCAUGUAAUUACGUAGUUUUCCCUAAAAAGAAACCGUUAAAGGAGUAUUUGUA
rnacentral:misc_RNA from 1 species